rnacentral:lncRNA from 1 species
GGACAAUGCUACUGGCAUCUAGUGGACAGAGGCCAGGGAUACUGCUGAACAUCCCGCAGUGCACAGGACGCCUGCAACACAGAUUAUCCAGCCCCAAACGUCAAUAGUGCCGGAGUUAUGGAACCCUAAUGAAGACAAUUCUUGAAGGCAUAGACUGAAUCUUAUUUAUCUUUGUUUCCCUCAUGUCUCACAAGCAGAGUAUGAGUUCAGCAAAUAGGAGUUGAACAGAAAUCAGGAGGAGGUUUCAGUCAGUAGAGAUUGAACUACUAUACUCUAGCCUGGAUGACAAAGUAAGACCUUGUCAAAAAAAAAAAAAAAAAAAAAAAAAAAAAAAGAAGGAUAAUCAAGACAAUGAGCUAACACAGAAGCCAUAGUGGACUUUCUUCAAUAUUUUAAGAAAGGUGAAAAAUAGCAGGAAUUUAACCUCUCAAAAAUGCUAUUCCCAUUAUCUAUUCUUCCUCAGCUACAAAGCCCCUGAUUUCACCUAGGCACAUGGCUGCCCAAAAAAGACAACCCUGUCUGGCCCCCCUUAAACCUGAUUGUAGCUAUCUAAGUUGUAGCCAAUGAGGUGUCAGAGGAAGUACCAUGCAGUGCAACUUCUUAAGUAGCCUAGAAAGAUGGGGUCACAUCCCCCUGGGUUGUUUCCUUCUUUGUGUCAUUUUGAUCUCUCUCGCUGGAAAACAGAAAUGAUGUCUGGAGUGUAAGCAGCCAUCUUGGGCUAGGAGACUACAUGCUGACAUGGUGACACACCACCCAGAAAGAAUCUGAGUAGUCGAUGAUCACAGAGCUACCAUAUCAGCACUAGACUCUCUACCUCCACAUUUUAUUUGUGUGACAUAGAAAUAAAGUUUAAGCUUUGUUUUUUCUGGGGU